GACAGAGGUGCCAAGCGUUAGGCGGAAUCACUGGGCUUAAAGCGUGUGUAGGCGGGCGAUCAAGUACCUUGUGGAAAUCCCACGGCUCAACCGUGGAACUGCUGGGUAUACUGGUUGUCUUGAGCCAGCUAGGGGCGAGCGGAACAGACGGUGGAGCGGUGAAAUGCGUAGAUAUCGUCUGGAACGCCGAAGGUGAAAACAGCUCGCUGGGGCUGCGCUGACGCUGGAGACACGAAAGCCAGGGGAGCGAACGGG
rnacentral:rRNA from 1 species